rnacentral:rRNA from 1 species
GGAGUUUGGGCCGUGUCUCAGUCCCAAUGUGGCCGGUCGCCCUCUCAGGCCGGCUACGGAUCAUCGCUUUGGUGGGCCGUUACCCCGCCAACUGGCUAAUCCGACGCGGAGCCAUCCUUCACCGUCUCGGCUUUCCUCCCUGUACCAUGCGGUACUGUGAGCAUAUGCGGUAUUAACAGUCGUUUCCAACUGUUAUCCCCCUGUGAAGGGCAGGUUCUCCACGCGUUCCUCACCCAUCCGCCGCUAAGAUAAACAUGAAUUCGGCCGAAGCUUCAUUCGGCGUUUAUCUCCGCUCGACUUGCAUGUGUUAGGCACGCCGCCAGCGUUCAUC